CCUACGGGUGGCAGCAGUGGGGAAUAUUGCACAAUGGGGGAAACCCUGAUGCAGCGACGCCGCGUGAGUGAAGAAGUAAUUCGUUAUGUAAAGCUCUAUCAGCAGGGAAGAAAAUGACGGUACCUGAGUAAGAAGCCGCGGCUAACUACGUGCCAGCAGACGCGGUAAUAAGUAGGGGGCAAGCGUUAUCCGGAUUUACUGGGUGUAAGGGGAGCGUAGACGGCAGUGCAAGGCUGGAGUGAAAGGCGGGGGCUCAACCCCCGGACUGCUCUGGAAACUGUACGGCUGGAGUGCAGGAGAGGUAAGUGGAAUUCCUGGUGUAGCGGUGAAAUGCGUAGAUAUUAGGAGGAACACCAGUGGCGAAGGCGGCUUACUGGACUGUAACUGACGUUGAGGCUCGAAAGCGUGGGGAGCAAACAGGAUUAGAUACCCUUGUAGUC
rnacentral:rRNA from 1 species